CAUUUUCACUCACCGAAUUCGAACUGCUCAUCGGAAUCUUCGUUCGGGUCACCGGAAUUUCUCCCUUUAGAUCACAACUCGCUUCCCUUCAACGAAAACGACUCAGAGGAAAUGCUUUUGUAUGGUCUAUUAGCAGAGGCUAAACAGGAAACAUCAUCAGAGCUAACAUACCCGAAUCAAGUGAAAGAAGAAGAAGUUACCUCGAUGGACAUCGAAAGCCCGACGAAAGAAAAGGCUUACCGAGGGGUAAGACGGCGGCCAUGGGGAAAGUUCGCGGCGGAGAUAAGGGAUUCAACGAGGAAUGGGGUAAGGGUAUGGCUCGGAACAUUCGACAGCGCGGAAGCGGCAGCUCUGGCCUACGAU
rnacentral:lncRNA from 1 species